rnacentral:rRNA from 1 species
GACGAACGCUGGCGGCGUGCUUAACACAUGCAAGUCGAGCGGUAAGGCCCUUUCGGGGGUACACGAGCGGCGAGCGGGUGAGUAACACGUGGGUGACCUGCCCUCAGCUCUGGGAUAAGCCUGGGAAACCGGGUCUAAUACUGGAUAUGACUCCAUGACGCAUGUUGUGGGGUGGAAAGCCUUGUGCGGCUGAGGAUGGGCCCGCGGCCUAUCAGCUUGUUGGGGGGUGAUGGCCUACCAAGGCGACGACGGGUAGCCGGCCUGAGAGGGCGACCGGCCACACUGGGACUGAGACACGGCCCAGACUCCUACGGGAGGCAGCAGUGGGGAAUCUUGCGCAAUGGGCGAAAGCCUGACGCAGCGACGCCGCGUGAGGGAUGACGGCCU